rnacentral:rRNA from 1 species
CAUAAGGAAUUUUUAUUUCUUAUGAUAAAAACAACUUUCAACAACGGAUCUCUUGGCUCUCGCAUCGAUGAAGAACGUAGCGAAUUACGAUAUGUAAUGUGAAUUGCAGAAUUCAGUGAAUCAUCGAAUCUUUGAACGCACCUUGCGCUCUUUGGUAUUCCGAAGAGCAUGCCUGUUUGAGUGUCAUGAAUCUCUCAAAUACAAUAAUUUAUUUUGAAUCAUUAUUAUUUGGACUUGGAAGUUUGUCGGCGCAAGUCGACUCUUCUUAAAUGCAUUAGCUGGGGUUUAUAUAGUUGGAUCCUUGGUGUGAUAAUUAUCUACGCCUUGAAGUCCCUGUAGACUCUGCUUCAAAUCGUCUCUUCAUGAGACAAUAUUUGAAUCAUCGACCUCAAACAGGUAGGACUACCCGCAA